UCAAGUUUGUUUUGAUUUAGUUUUAGAAAGAAAAUAUGUCGCGAGCAAGGUCGCGAGUUUAAUUUAAAAAUUUUAUGAAAACUUGCGAUUCGAGGUCGGUGCCACAAUUCUUUUGCUUGGAAACGCAUCUAGUGGAGGAUUGCGGAGGCGAAGGCAUCGGCAGUAUGCCGGACGAUUUGAAGUUCGACGCGCUGAACGACUGGGAAAAGUGCACGAGGAUUUGGACCGGUUGAAACAGAGGGAAGCGAGGUUGCAGCUGGAACUGAACGUGUUGAUGAUGCCGAACAUGCCAGAAACGCAGAGGCCGCAGCAUCCGACGUCACAUCCGGCGAUGUAGCAGCAACAUUUGGAGAGUUCGCAGCAGCGGGGAGAAAAGUGGUUUCUUCAUCGGUCUUCCGCCAAACUUUCCGUUGUCGAAUCCGGCUUAGAUGCGUAUCUGUUUGAAGGACGAUUUCCCGGCAUAUCGAACCAGCCGACCAGUUGACGAUUCCAGUAAACUUUUCUCCGCCGUUUAACAUGGUUGCCGCCGUUACACUUUAACCAGCGGCUGGUUCAGGAGGUUCAGCAAAAUCAUCCGGUGUUGAAUCACCAACGUUAUCAUCAACAGAAGCAGCAGGGUCAGAAUCCCUGUCAGCAGCAGUCCAAAAACUGCAAAAUUACCAGCAGAACCAGAAAAAGAUGCAGCACCACGAUGGCAGGCUGAACCACUCCGGGGAGUACGAAGCGUACGCAAACACCAUUGUUGUAAAUAAAUACAAGUUAUU